UCAGUUAGUUAGUGAAGCCUUAAAGUGCAUAAACUACGACACUUGGGUCACAAUUUGUAAAGCGCUAUCUUUUCUACUCUCGUGCGUUUUGUAUCCUCUAUCUUACUCAU